UUGGCAUUAUGAUGUUUAGGGGAAGUAAAGUAACUGCACAACAUCCCCUCUGACGGAGGCCACAUCAGUAAAAAGGAAAGCAUAGUCUCUUCUCUGCCUCAUCACGGGAAGGUCGCCAAGGGAGGCACAAGUCAGGAAUGAAUUCCUGUGUUAACAGGAUGAUUAAUAUUCUGCAUUACAUUCAUCUAAAUUCACCAUAUUGCUCAACAUGGACUAAGCAUCUGAUGCAUUCUUUUCAGGAAAGGAAAAGAAAGUCUGCCUCCGGGAAAACUUUCACUUACAGCUUUUACCAAAAGAGAAUAAGCAACUGAUUGCAGAGAACCAGGCUGAUGGUUUUAUUUUACUUCCCAGCAAUAAACAGAGUGGAAAUGCUAAUUAUGAACAUUUUAAAGUUUUUUGAAAUGAAAAUGUAUCUCAAAUUAAUUUUUUGCUUUAUAUAUUUCUUUGGAGUAAAGAGGGCUGAAAUUUAAUCAUCUUCCAUUUUCAGUAUAUUCUGAAUAGCAUAAAUCCUACCAAGCUUUUAAUUCAUUUCUUUGAGGAAGCUCUCUUCUUUACAUUUCAUUUCCUGAGCCCUGCUUGGCAGUCCGAUUUGGUGCUAUCCUGAGUGCUGUUUUCAAAAUUGGUCUAAUUGCAAAUGUUGGAGACCACUUAAACUGUGGAAACUUAUUACCCAU
rnacentral:lncRNA from 10 species